rnacentral:rRNA from 1 species
ACACAUGCAAGUCGAACGGGUCUGCCUUGUUUUUUGCGGGGUGGGUUAGUGGCGAACGGGUGAGUAACACGUGAGUAACCUGCCCCUCACUUCUGGAUAACCGCUUGAAAGGGUGGCUAAUACGGGGUGUUCUGGCUGUGCCGCAUGGUGUGGCUGGGAAAGAUUCACUUUUGUGGUGUUUUGGUGGGGGAUGGGCUCGCGGCCUAUCAGCUUGUUGGUGGGGUGAUGGCCUGCCAAGGCUUUGACGGGUAGCCGGCCUGAGAGGGUGGGCGGUCACACUGGGACUGAGAUACGGCCCAGACUCCUGCGGGAGGCAGCAGUGGGGGGUAUUGCACAAUGGGCGGAAGCCUGAUGCAGCGACGUCGCGUGAGGGAUGGAGGCCUUCGGGUUGUGAACCUCUUUCGCCGGUGAAGAAGGUCCUGCUGCUCGGCUAACUACGGC